rnacentral:rRNA from 1 species
AUGGCUGCCGGGAGAGUCGUUUCCCUAGACCUUGGUGAGUUUAACUUGAAGAGCCGCCAUCUUGACCCUGCGCUCUUCAACCUCACCUCUCUGAGAAACCUAAGCCUUGCUUCAAACGACUUCAGUUAUGUUCUCCUCCCGCUGUAUGGGUUUGAGCGACUCACAAAUAUCAUCCACCUCAACUUCUCCGCUACCAAUUUUAUUGGCCAGAUCCCCGCUGGAAUUGCCUGCCUCAAGAACCUUGUCACUCUUGAUUUUUCUCGUAAUCCUGAGCUGCAUUUGCAAGAGCCAAACUUCCAGUCCUUCAUGGCAAAUCUAAGCAAUUUAAGGGAGCUCCAUCUUGAUGCAGUGGAUCAACUUGGUCUGUUGUUUUAG